AAUAAAUCACCUAGGGUCACUUGCUCUCUCUUGCUCCACCUGAGCCUAUCAAUGGGCUCUCAUAAUCCACUUGUCAGAAGAACAGCAUCUUGAGAACACUGGGUUCUGGGCGGACUUGGUGGCAGCUAAGGACUGCACACUUGGAGGACCGCUCAGAGAGGAUUCACCCUGCACCUUCAUUACAGACUUGAGGAGGGCAGGGACUUCCCACACCCAGGGAGUUCCAACCAGAGUCCAGCAUGCCUGUAGAAGUUAGAUGACAACUUGGAGUAGUUAUUCUGCCCUACCAUGUGGCUCUUCGGAUUUCCACUCAGAUUAUGAAGCUUGGCAGCACUUGCCUUUAACCACGAAGCCUUCACAGCAGUCCCUAUUUACUAGCACUGUUUGACUCCGUACUCAGCGAGCAAGUGGACAGUUGGAUGUCAUCUAUGGCCUCUUUACACCCACCCCAAGAUCCAGAAGCCGACUCCCAAGGAAGAGUUGUGCGGCCCCACCUCUGUCUAUGGCAGCUGGAAAGUACUGGUGUUUGGCUGUAUACACUGUGAAGCAAGCCGCUGCCACAGGCUUGGUGAUGGCAUCAAAAUUGCUCUUUCGUGCGGAGACUCAGCAGUAAAGAGCACUGUUUCUGCAGAGAAGCAGAUUUGAUCCCAGCACUCACAUGGCUGCUCACACUGUAUCUAACUCCAGUGCCAGGGAAUCGGAUGCCCUCUGCCGAACUCCGCUGCACUGGUUAUGCAUGGUGCACAUACAUACAUACAUGCAAAAUAUUCAAACAAUAAAAUAAAUAAAUACAUAUUUUAAAAAUA